CUCAUUCCUGCCCCUGUGAUCACACCCGUGCACGUGUCCUCUAGAAGAGGUGAGCAGUCGCCGUCAGCAGUGGAGGCCAUGGCCGCAGAACAUGUACGGACUGAUGAACGAGGAUCAGAGGUUUUCAGACUGCGAGGCGAGUUGAAGGGGGAGGUGCAGGUGUGGAGCAUCACUACAAGCAGCACAGCUCAGUGGAGGGACACAUCAACAAGCUGUUGAAAGGAAAUGCACCAUCCAUGUCAGUGCUGGUGUAAAUCCACAGCAAGCUGUCAGGUCAGUACAGCGAUCAACGAGUGGCCACCUCAACCCCUGCACCACCUCAACUCUGGAUGCUGGGUCAUCUACCUUUAACCGUCCAUCAGACGUCCAAUGUUCGUGCUCCAUUUCUAAUCCCCAUCACCAAAGUUUGGGCUCUGGAGGAAUCGUAUUUUUUCAAGUGCGCAGCCCAGAUAAGACGUCUACAUAGAUGAAACAGACGAAAACAGCACAUCAGCAGCAGCAGCU